rnacentral:rRNA from 1 species
GCCAGCAGCCAUAUCGCCCUGCAACUCACAACUGGCAACCCACUGAAGCUAAGCAGGUGUGAGCCUGUUCAGUACCUGGAUGGGAGACCUCCUGGGAAAAACUGGGAAAAAAAGGUUGCUGCUGGAG